GCUUUGGAAAUGUCUAGGCUGAGGAAACUUUUAGUACGGCUAUGAAGUAACAUGUUUUCAUAAUGAAGAUGUCCAGAGAAUCAUAGCUGUUAGCCUAGAUGUCUGAAAAAAAUUGAGGUCAAGAUGCAUGAAUGCCAGAGGAUGUGUAAGCAAGGAAAUAUGAUGACUUAAAAGGAUGUUGUGCAGAAUUCCUGACCUCUACUAUCUCAAUCGUAUUUCUUCAGUGUGAUAAUGAAAAAUGUCUUCAGAAAUAGCUGGAUGGCAGCAGUAGAUAAACGGGAC